rnacentral:rRNA from 1 species
GAUUGAUACUAAGCCAUGCGAGUCUUUGCAGUAAUGCAAGGCGGACUGCUCAGUAACACGUAGUCAACUUAACCUAUGGAUGGGUAUAACCUCGGGAAACUGAGAAUAAUUUCCAAUAGAUCAUUUAUCCUGGAAUGGUUAGUGAUUGAAAUGAUUCGUCGCCAUAGGAUAGGACUGCGGCCUAUCAGCUUGUUGGUGAGGUAAAGGCCCACCAAGGCUAUUACAGGUACGGGCUCUGAGAGAAGAAGCCCGGAGAUGGGUACUGAGACACGGACCCAGGCCCUAUGGGGCGCAGCAGGCGAGAAAACUUUGCAAUGUGCGAAAGCACGACAAGGUUAAUCCGAGUGACUUCUGCUAAAGAAAUCUUUUGCCAGUUCUAAAAAUACUGGUGAAUAAGGGGUGGGCAAGUUCUGGUGCCAGCAGCCGCGGUAAU